AAUAAAAAUCAAAUGACAGAAUCCAUGUAUUUAGAAAAUUAGUUCAUGCUUGGAAAUAGAAACAUCCAAGAUACAAUAUAACCAAAAGAAAGAAAGAAACUCAUGAUAACUGCCUAAGAAAUCAACUGCGAAUCUUCAAUCUUGACAUAAAUCUAUUUCAAAGUCGGCUUCAAUGUUGUUUUUCGAGUUGUUUUCUUGAACAUUCUUU
rnacentral:lncRNA from 1 species